rnacentral:lncRNA from 1 species
AUAAAUUAUUGGUGUAGAGGUACAAGGUGUCAAGCAUGGUGAGGUUUCCUAAAGUAGAAGGGAUGGAGCCUGAUAGUUGAUUUUCUGCGAUUCUAGAUGACGUAAGUUGACUAGGUUGCCUAAUUUAUGAGGGAUUGUGCCAGAUAAAUUAUUGGUAUAGAGGUACAAGGUGUCAAGCAUGGUGAGGUUUCCUAAAGUGGAAGGAAUGGGGCCCGAUAGUUGAUUUUCUGCGAUUUCUAGAUGGCGUAAGUUGACUAGGUUGCCUAAUUCAUGAGGGAUUGUGCCAGAUAAAUUAUUGGUGUAGAGGUACAAGGUGUCAAGCAUGGUAAGAUUUCCUAAAGUGGAUGGGAUGGAGCCUGAUAGUUGAUUUUCUGCGAUUCCUAGAUGACAUAAGUUGACUAAGUUGCCUAAUUCAUGAGGAAUGGUGCUAGAUAAAUUAUUAGUGAAGAGGUGUAAAGUGUCAAGCAUGGUGAGAUUUCCUAAAGUGGAAGGGAUGGAGCCUGAUAGUUGAUUUUUUGAGAUUUCUAGAUCACGUAAGUUUAAUAGGUUGCCUAAUUCAUGAGGGAUGGUGCUAGAUAAAUUAUU